UAAGAGAAGGAAAACAAUGCCUUGAGGAAUAUACAUGAAGAAGUUUCAUGAAAAAAAUUAAUGAUUAUUUAAAUAUAUGUGGUAUGCUUAUAAACAUGUUCAGAAUCAAGGGACGUUACAAAAUUUUAGUGUUCAGCUUGGCAUUUAUAUAACAAACAUUUCAUGGAUAGUUAUUAUUUGUAAUAUACCAUGCUACGUGUUUCAAAUGUUCUGCUUGAAAACAAAAGUAGGUGAUUUUAAUUUCCAAACUAAUAUCAUAAAAAAUUAUUGGUAAGCCAGGAUUUUAGGAAACUUAGAAGCAAAAUGUAAAAUAGCCAAACCUCUUAACUAAUCAUUCUGCACAUUUUUUCUAAGCCACCUCCAACCAGUCCAGCUGUAGAGAGAGAAUGCCUAUGUUUGUGUAUUACCUGCUCUAAGUUUUUACUUAAUUUGCCCUUGCAAAAAAGUGCAAUGUUAAGUCACAAGCUUAUGUUUUUGCUAACGUAGUUUCCCUACAAGCUAUCAAAGUAUACAUGCCUCAGUGUAUGUACAUAAGCAAGAAAGGACAAAAUAACCCAACUGUUUCAUUCCUGAUACCUAGAAAUUUGCAUUGACUCCAGACCCAUGGAAAGAAAAAUGGCUACUUAUUUACCUAUCUUUAUGACAUUAUAGGAGAAGGAAAGGGCAACCCACUAGAGCACUGUUGCCUGGAGGAUUCCAAGGACAGAGGAGACUGGCAGGCUCCAGUCCAUGGGGUCGCAGAGUUGAACACAGUGGAGUGACUAAUACCAUGACAUUACAAGGGCUCCCAGGUGGCACUAAUGACGCUUGCUACUAAGCACUACAGGGAAACCGAGAUCGGGGAACGAAAUCAACAUCGAGGGGAAGGCUCAAAGACUGCAGAGUCUUCACGAUGGCCAUUGGCAGCUUCUGACUCACCUGGAGCCUCAGUCCCAUCGUAUCUGUGGGUGAAGGAGGGGCUUCCUCAGGGUAAGAGGAAGAGCAACUACAUCUCCUUGACUGGCAGAAUCCCUGACCCUGGAUAGCAAGUAGUCCAUUCACCAGGCCUCCGCCUUGCCUGGGACAGAAGAACCCUGCGGGCCAUCACCUCACUGUGGUGCCCUUUGAGUAGGUCCGAGAGCCUACAGGAGAGGACUUUGGAUUCAGGGGAGAAGAGUGAGUGUGGCGGACAGAAGAGAGACAGACCCUCAAAAGAUCCACUCAGCUAGUUCCCAGCUCCAAGGAGGGCUACUACCUACAAAUGGUCCGCUCACCUCCUCUCCCUGCCUUCUCAUAAUUGACGAAUAAUUGUAUAACUAUGAUGAAUUAUAUAGUUAUUUCAUUUUUAACUUCAAUAGUAAGGAUAUAAUAAGUCCAGCACUGACUGUGUUCCAGGCACGGUUCCAAACACUUACUUCCAUUAACUCUCACAACAUCGCCAGGAGGCAGUUCGUGUUACCCAGUAUACAGUGGAAGGAAUUUAGGCCACGAGAAGGCAAGUGACAUAACCUGUCUGCAAUCCCACCCUAACUAAGCAGCAGAUUGGGAUUUGAACCCAGGCCUGUCUGACUCCAAAGCUCACAUUCUUUUCCAUUAUGUGAUGCUUUUUCAAUAAAUUUUCUCCCCAAGAAAGGCCCUUCCUAAUCCAUUGCUGGAUCCUGUCUAAUCCUUGGCAGGAUCUCCUAGAAUGUUUGCUAUUCAGUGGGAAAGGGUGAAGACACCCAAACAAAUUCCCCAGCUCCCUUUUUCUCCCUCUAGCAGGAGUAUUAUUUCAGUGGAUAUAUCUAAAUUUUAAAUGGAGUGCUUUGAUCUCAACAGCAAAAUAUGAUACCUAAGGACCCAUGUACCUUGGAUCAGAAAGCAAAACUGGACUGGGGAGAG
rnacentral:lncRNA from 1 species